rnacentral:rRNA from 1 species
CUUCGGGAGGGACCUGCGUCCCAUCAGCUAGUUGGUAAGGUAACGGCUUACCAAGGCGACGACGGGUAGGGGACCUGAGAGGGUGGCCCCCCACAAUGGAACUGAAACACGGUCCAUACACCUACGGGUGGCAGCAGUAGGGAAUAUUGCAUAAUGGGCGCAAGCCUGAUGCAGCAACGCCGCGUGUGCGAUGAAGGCCUUCGGGUCGUAAAGCACUUUUAGAGCGGAUGAGGAAGGACAGUACGCUCUGAAUAAGCCUCGGCUAACUACGUGCCAGCAGCCGCGGUAAAACGUAGGAGGCGAGCGUUAUCCGGAUUUACUGGGCGUAAAGCGUGUGCAGGCCGGUUGAGAAAGUUGGAUGUGAAAGCUCCUGGCUUUAACUGGGAGAGGUCGUUCAAUAUACUUGACU